CGCAGCCGCGGUAAUACGGAGGGUGCAAGCGUUAAUCGGAAUUACUGGGCGUAAAGCGCACGUAGGCUGCUUUGUAAGUUAGAGGUGAAAGCCUGGAGCUCAACUCCAGAAUUGCCUUUAAGACUGCAUCGCUUGAAUCCAGGAGAGGUGAGUGGAAUUCCGAGUGUAGAGGUGAAAUUCGUAGAUAUUCGGAAGAACACCAGUGGCGAAGGCGGCUCACUGGACUGGUAUUGACGCUGAGGUGCGAAAGCGUUGGGAGCAAACAGGAUUAGAUACCCCAGUAGUCCCUGUCUCUUAUACA
rnacentral:rRNA from 1 species